CCUGAAACAGGUUAUUGGAAGUUCCUGGUGAUGGCAGCCAUUCUCUGAUUUCUUGCAUUGAGCUUCCAGUUCUCAUGUGUGACAGGCAGUUGGGAAAGCAGCUGGUGGGGAAUGCAGCAGCUUCUUGACAACCGAAUCACAGCUAGUAUGAUGUAUCCUUGAACUAAACAGUCCAGUGGUCAUCCCCUGACUGCUGCUGCCCCAGCUCAUCCAAUCAUUUGGUGGGCCUCAUGCAGUAAGUUGAAGGUUGUAAGAGCAAAGAUAGAAGGCCUUCCCAAAGAAUGAGGACUUCUGCCUGAGGAUAGCAAAUACCAAUUCUGCAUGGGUUUCCUGGCUUCAGACUCAAGAAUGCAAUAUCAACUCUUACUGGAAUUUCUAUCCUACCAGCUUGCCCUGCAAAUUUCAGACUUGCCAGCCCUUGCAAUUGUGGUUUCAAUGUCCUCAUCUCUGAAAGGAAAACAGCAUAGACCCAAUCUUCCUUGAUUGGCUUGAAGAUGAAAUAGGUAAUGCUCAGGAAGUGCUAAGCACAGAAUCUACUGCAAAAAGAACCAAGUUAAAAAGAUACAACUAAGAAGAUCCACCUCUCAACAUGAUUUCUGUUAGAACUGCCACUUUUGGCUAGUCAGGAAUUCACAUGGCAACCAUGAUGAUAAUGAAAGAGGGGAGAUGC
rnacentral:lncRNA from 1 species